UGGGUGGGGUGAGGUGGGGAAUACUAAAUAGCUCUGUUCCAAGCUUGGCAUUUGGCAUUAAUGUGAAGCAGUGGAACCAUGCUGCCUGCUAAACUACUGUAUGAAUUGUAAGUGUUCUGAAGACCAGCAGCUGGAGGCUGGAGGACAGCAUCCACACAAGGAGGAGAAGCACCACCGCUGCGUCGGGGACAAGGAAGGAAAUCGGGGUGGCCUGGAGUCGUCGUUCGCGAAGGGAAUGUUGGGGUGUACAUGAUGUUGUUGAGGAGAUUCACUUUGAUUGCACUGCUCCACAGAGCCCUCAUAUAAGGCCAAUCCCAAUGGGCUACCUCGGCUUUCAAAGUUACUUUCAAUAAGUCCUUGUUUUGCACCUUAUACAAAGUGUACUAAUUGUUAAUUAGAUGUUGCUUUUGUCUAUACAAGCAUUCCCAAAGAAUUAGAUUUAAUUUUGUUGUAUUUGAAUUUGAGGAUUUUUAAAAACGACUUUAUUUAGGUUGACUAACAGCAUAUGUAUAAUGAAAAAAGAGGCAGUUUUUCAUUUCAUCUUACCAGAUGUGAAGUAUUCAGGGUCUGAUGGACUGCUUUUCUUUAAUUUGGAAAUGAUCAAGUUUAUUGUAGUCCAUAUUAAAUGGCUUUGUCCUUUUCAUGGCAGAUAUUAUCUUGGUACCUUUCAGAACAAAGAACAAGUGUGAAUAACAAGACAUAGGCAUUUGAUUUAUAUAUCCCCGCCUGUCUGUAUUAUGCUUUCCUUCAAUAUAUAUUCAUAUUCUUUUUUAAUAUCUUUUUCUGGCCAAAUUUUAUCUCUAGUGGUGUGAUUUACACUACUAAGUUGAGAGAAGGAACCUUGUAGUUAAAAGUUCUGUGGCCACUGGUUUUCUUGGUUGUGUUUUGUCAAUCAGUGGUCAAAACUGAUCAUACCCUGAAACUGAUUUUUAUACGCACAACUAGUUAUCCUGAACAUUACUCCUCCUUCCAAAGAUAUCCUGAUAACUUGGACCGGAACUGGUUACUGAGUAACAAGGAUCUAAUUGAAUGCCUCUAAACCCUUCCACCCGCAAUGCAAAUCUUACCUCACAAGCUCUAAACUAAAUCACAGAGAUAAGUGUGUUUCAUGAACUAUCACUGAUUCUCUUUGUGGCCCACUAGGGGUGGGCUCAGGUCCCCUCACAUUAGUGCCUCGGCCUAAAGAGCAGCAGAACCGAGGGUAGGGGAAAGGUUUGCCAUCUAGAGCUCAGUAACUUGCUUGGCAACAUUUUUUUUUUUUCAUUUCACUAUAAACAAGUCUCUUGCUCUCAGGAAUUUGUCAAAAAAAAAAAGCAAACAAAAAACACCUGAGAUUCCACACACUAGAUUUUGAACUUUUCUCAUAGGUUUGAAUUGCUUACUCAAAUGUCAUAAAUUAACCAUAGUUUUAUUUGACCACCAGGUCUUAAUUCUGUUGACAGUUUCAGCAUGACUGAAUCACUCUUUUUUUUUUUUUCUUUCGGAAAUUGGCUUGGUUCUCUUUAGAGUUGGUGUAAACAUGCCAUGUAGUAAAUGAUUUCCACUUAAUGGUACAACAGAAUAUUACUUUCUUAGAUGUAUGUGUAGUAAAAGUCAAUAUACACAUUUAUAUCAUUUAUUUCUUCAAAAUCUUAUACCUUAUUUGAUAUUUCUAAAAAUUGCACAUGUAAGUCAUGUGUAUAACAUGCUAAAGUACUUUAACUGUGAUCUUAAAACUG
ensembl:lncRNA